rnacentral:lncRNA from 1 species
UUUUUUUAGUCUCUAAGCCCCUGGAUAACCCUUUGUAUAGCUGCUACUUAUCAUGUAACACCCUUUGCCAACCUCUACUGCACAUCUGCUUUAUAGUAUUAACUUCAGAGUAAAAGUUAUCCAUUUUCUGGUUCUAUUUCUCUGUAACUUAUUUUGAUUCAUGUACUCUUAGCAUUUUAUGUAGAAGGGAAAUCCUGUCAUUUGUGAAACAAAGAACUAACCUCUUAACUGAAAAUCAUAUAAGCAGGAAGACAAAAUCUCCAGCACUUUAAGGCAAAUACUCUGGUGACCAGAGUGGACCUCAGUACUGGCCUCCUCAGUUAGCAGUCUGGGUCCCAUCCUUAGGGGAAAGGUAAGGGCAGGCAGAGCCAUCUA